rnacentral:misc_RNA from 1 species
AUCCGAAGUCAUUAUCACCAAUGGAAUCUGACACUGGCGUGAACCUUGUACCAGUUGGCAGCUAGACACUUGUAAAGCCAGAAUGGACUCUAUAUAAUGUUGCAAGAAGCAUCGGCCACUUGUGGUUUCUAAAGGAAGAGCCAACUUAAUUCCAUUAUAACCAAGCCGUUCUCCAAGACCACCAGCAACAAGAACAAAUGCA